ensembl:lncRNA
AGAGAAGCUGCUGUAGCUCUGUCCUUGGGUGAACCCCGAGUGUCACAUCAGACCUUGAAUGUGAAUGAGCCAAAGGCACCCUGCUGUUCUCAUGUUAAUGACAAGGGGGAGGUCCAGGAACCAGGCAGGGAAGGAGAAGUGGAGCAGGACAUCUGUGUCCUCAGGAGGAUCCUGUGGUUCCAGCAGGAACCACUGAAGAGGAAAAUUAAUAUUAUUUUGCAUCUACAGUUGUGUGCAAUCACUACCCAAUCUUAUACUGAAAUGAAGUUUAUGAUAAAGCCAAAAUGUCCUCCAUGAAAUAAAUGAUACUUAAGCUGGGAAAGAAUGCUAGCUCAACUUAUGGCCACGCUCUGAAGGACUUUGGAUACCUCGUGUUUGGGAGGAUUCUACCUUCAGUGACUUGAAUCCUUGAAAAGACAUACCUGUGACUGAAGUGAUACAAGACACGAAUCUGUCAGAACAAAAGACAGCAACACUCAAUGCCUUCUACGUAAAUAAGAAGCCAGAAGCUAUCUGAGCCACCAGGUUUAAAGUACAACUUUCAGGUUUUGCUACUUACAGAAGAUUUGCUUCUAAAAAUACCAGCUAUGGUGUCAUUAAUUGCUUCUUUCUGUGUGACUGUCUGAAACUGUAACAGUCUCAAAAGCAUCCUGAAUGAAUCCUCAUACUAAGCCAGAAGGUUUAACAACAACAACAAAAUCAACCUUUUAUCUUGCCUCAGUCUGAGAGUUGUGGUGAUGACAUUCAAUUCAGAGAGAAGGCUGAUCUGUGUCAGGCUGGGAUUUAAUGUUAAUGAGGACUGCUGCAUUGCAAAAUGCAACCUCACUUUUCUGACCGCUUAGCUGAAAAAAAAUCACAAAAACUUUUAGAUGACUCAUUUCCUAUAGCUAGUGCUUCUGUAAUUUUCCAGUGAUAUAAAAACAGUUAGUACAGGUUGAAAUACAUUAGCAGCUUCAGUAAUUAGUAGACAUAACCAUUUCUUGUCAGUUCCAUGGGCCGUAUCCUCAGCUGGUGUAAACCAAUGACGCUCCAGCACUGUAACUGUAUUACUUUGCACACCUCGAAAUAGCUAUGUGUGCUAAUUAUUGCCGUAUCCAUUACCACCAUUGUCAAUUCAGACACCUGAUUUACACCGAAUGAGUUUGCUCCGUAUAUUUAGAAGUUUCUGCACAUUCCUCAAAGGAUCUGUAGCAUGGAAUAAACUUUCAGAAUAAGCUGGGCA